rnacentral:lncRNA from 1 species
UUUUUCUUUUAAUUCUCUUCAUCUUUUGUACUCUCCUUUAUUAUAGUGAAAUUUCAUUUCGCCUGUGGAGUUUUAUCCUCUUUUGAGGAGUUUUUCCAUGUAAAAUUUUCAUGUUCGAUUUUUUUUAUUCUUAUUUUUUUUACUUUGUUCGUUGUUUAACCGCAUUUAUCCCCUUCAGAAAGUAUAUUAUAAAUUGUAAUCCAUAGAUAGUGAUAUAAUUUGUGUUAUGAGAAAUUAUGAUUAAAGCUAUAUGUUAAUGAUAUAUGAGCUUUAAGAACUAAAUUGAAUAAAAAUUCAAGAAUGAAGAUAUAGAUGAUCAAGUUAUC